GACAGAGGGUGCAAACGUUGUUCGGAAUACUGGGCGUAAAGCGUGCGCAGGCGGUGAUGUAAGACAGAUGUGAAAUCCCCGGGCUCAACCUGGGACCUGCAUUUGUGACUGCAUCGCUAGAGUACGGCAGAGGGGGAUGGAAUUCCGCGUGUAGCAGUGAAAUGCGUAGAUAUGCGGAGGAACACCGAUGGCGAAGGCAAUCCCCUGGGCCUGUACUGCGCUCAUGCACGAAAGCGU
rnacentral:rRNA from 1 species